rnacentral:tRNA from 1 species
GCGCCCGUAGCUCAGCUGGAUAGAGUACCUGGCUACGAACUAGGGGGUCGCACGUUCGAAUCGUGCCGGGCGCACCA